GUAACUGAGUCCAGGUAACGUAGCACCUGAAAUACAUGAAGGAGUUUACAGACCUAAAGUUAAGUUGGAGUAAAACUUAAUGCAGGAGGCCAACAUUCUUUAUCUAGUAUGUUAUGAGAGACACAAGUUGAGUGGAUGUUGUGCCUCAUUCGUUGGUCAUUUGUAGUCAGUGAAUUACAUGUUAACAUUAGUAACAGUUCCUUAUUGUGAUGUAAUGCUGCUUCCUGAAGGACAUGACUACAGUCAACGGGACCUCACGAACAUGGCUGAGAUUCUUGGCGAUGGUGACGUGCAGAGUGCUGGGGACACGGUGGACGCCAUAAGAUUGUUUGGAAAGAGGCGACAUGCACAGCCAGCAGCCAGCAGUAACACUGAUGAGGAAAUGGACUCUGCCCCCAGCAGUAAUAAAACAGCAGGCUCUGACCCGUACCGCUACAAGAUGGACUAUCCCCGCCUCGGAAGCUGCCUGAUCAUCAACAAUAACAACUUCAACAGCGGCACAGGCAUGCGUCCCCGUAAAGGGACAGAUGAAGAUGCUGCUGCUGCUAAGAAGACCUUCUCUGAGCUGGGUUAUAAGGUCAAUGUAGCCAGCGACCAGACCGUGGAACAGAUGAAGGAACUGCUGUUUAAAGCAUCCCAGGAGGACCACAGUAAUAGUGCAUCAUUUGCAUGUGUGUUGCUAAGUCAUGGAGAUGAGGGGGUGAUAUAUGGCACUGAUGGUUCUGAAAGGUUUGAAGAACUGACAAAAUACUUUAAAGGAGAUCGCUGUAAGAGUCUGGUGGGGAAACCGAAGCUCUUCUUCAUACAGGCGUGCCGUGGGAUAGGCCUGGACGACGGAAUCGAGACAGACUCAAAGCCCGAUGAACAAACAUCAGAGAGGAUUCCUGUGGAGGCCGAUUUCCUGUAUGCUUAUUCCACGGCUCCAGGCUACAAAGCAUGGAGAAACGAGCAGAACGGUUCCUGGUUCAUGCAGUCGUUGUGUGAGAUGUUAAACCUUUUCAGUGGAGAGCUCGAGCUGAUGCAGAUCAUGACCCGAGUCAACCGCAAAGUGUCGCUACACUUUGAGUCCUCUUCCAACACACCUGGACAUGAUGGCAAGAAGCAGAUCCCCUGUAUCGUCUCCAUGUUGACCAAAGACUUCUACUUUCCUAAAUUAAGAUAGACUUUUUGAACCUAUUGAAACUCCUCUCUAGUGGGAAACAGAGUCAAAAAUGACUCUGUCGCAAUUACUAAUUUCAUGUCCAUCUAUUUUACCUUCAAAGGUGUUUGCCAGAUUUCUACCCUCUUUGGCUAAACAAGGAUAACAUUAAAAAAGGAUAUCAUCAACAGAUCAGUGAGGUUUAAGUUGAGCCUCAAACAUUUUUUAUUAUGUGUUUUUAGUGUGUGGUCUUUUAGGAAAACCUAAACCAGUUUUAAUUCUAUGUUUGAUCAUCAUGUAUUGCAGAAAAGAUACUAAAGGGUGUUGGGACCUUUUCCAGGGAUGUAUUUUCAAUAAGCCUGUUUCAGGGAUACACACUUGAAUAUUAGCAGAACUGUGGAAAUAUGGACUUCUUCUAAUUUUACUCCAUAAACAUAAUGCUGUAUAGUUAAAUGAUAAACAAUCAGUUUACUACAUACAAUGUUUCUGCUUUUUAACAUGUGGUAGUUCUUGUUUUUAUGUGUUACAUUACCACUGUCAUUACUCUUUAUACCUUUAACUGGGACUCAUGAUAAAUAUAUAUAUAUAUAUAUAUAUAUAUAUAUAUA